AACCUCACCGUUCAGUAAAGCAUGACAAAAGUUUAACGAUUUAAGUUUUUCUUAGUGUGUUUAGAGCCGUUAUAAUAAUGUGAUAAACGAUUCUACCGUUAAAAAAACUUUCUACUCUUAGUUUUCGAAUUUAUAUUUACCGUAUCAAGUCCAUAUAAAUAUAUAGAAUGUGCGACAUCAACAGUAGUUGCUAAGAUCAUUGCAAAUAUCCAAGGUACGAAUAGAACUCUGAGAUC